UUUUCGACGUGUUCAACUAUUUUUAAAAAUUCUGUUGACUUUUUUUUUUAAUUUUUCUUUACCCUUAAUGACGUCAUUAGUCAUUUUUGAAAAAAAUUUUUUUUUUCAACCAGCGUUUUCGCAAGUUGAAAAAAUCAAUUUUUUUUUUAAAUUUUUUUGUCAACUCCAUUCAAUAUACAAGUCAACAGUAUUUUUAUUUAUUAAUUAGUGUUGAUUGUUUAGAUAGAUUAUCAAUGGAUUCCAACGAUGAAAAGUUUUUUUUCUGAUGUCUUGACUGGAAGGAAGGAUGGAACCAAAGAACACUGACCAGCCUCAAUGAACUGCUAGCUGUCAUCCUACCAGCUGAUCAACUGGCAUCGUUCGGCAGGGAAAUAAAGUUAUUUCCCUGUUGAGGUUUAGGUACAUAGUUUGGAUUUACUUUUUGGUAGAUCUUUUAUGACGUGUCUAAUCUAGAGUCCAUUGGAAUCUAUAUUGACAUGACUGGCCUAUGAGGACCAGAUUAAUCUUGGAGACAGUGAUGCUGCUGAGCAUUGAAGACAAGGUGGUCCAGAUCCAAGGACUCACCGCCGCUCUAAUUUUUCUUUUCUGUUUCAGAUCCAGUUAACAAGAAGGAUGCCCAGGGAUGCCAAGGACCAACAGGAGAACCAGGACCAGGACCAGGAAGAAGAUUUUUUAUUUAUUUAAUUUAAGCUUAAUUGUAGUUAAUUUUAAAAAAUUUUUGUAUUAAGGUGUGAGUGUGAUGAAUGAUAUGAGAGAGAUUUAUAAUUUAAGGAUUUAAUUUAUAUUUUUAUUUUAUAAGAAUUAGUAUGAGUGGCAUGUUUUUUUGCUUGGCUUGUGUAUUGUUUUUUUUUAUUUUUAUUUGGGUUUGAUAGCAUGGUUUGUUUUAUGUUUUUUUUUAUUCGGGUUUGAUUGCAUGGUUUGGGUUGCUUAUAUUUAAUUUAAAUUUUUCCCUUUUUCCCAUUACCUCUUAAUCUUAAGUUUGUAUGAUUGUGAUUUUAUUUAAAUUUAAGAGUAUGAUGAAUGUGUGUGAUAUUAUUUAUUGCGAUAUCCGGGCCUAGGUAUUAUUAUUAAGUCUUAAUUUUAAGAAAUUUUAUUUAUAAAAUUUUAAUAUUUAUAUUUUUUUUUGUAAUUAUUUUCUGAAAUAUGUACUGUAUAAUAUUUUGUGUUUAUUGUCAUUUAGCUUUUGUUUGGUCACCAAUCGAGUGACCACUGUGUUGGUCGGGUUUUAUCACUGAUAAAAUCCUCUGAUUUAAACCGAUAGAUUCCGGGUCUAUCGGAUUUUUAUUGGAGUAUUUUAUCAGUGUCGAGGUUUCCCAAACGGGCUAUUUUCUUUCUACCAAAAGAAAAUAGCUUAGACCACUACAAUUGUAUUUUUAAACAAAUACAAUUGUAGGUGAAUGCGCACAGUAUAGGAAGUCGGUCCUC